rnacentral:rRNA from 1 species
GUGGGGAAUAUUGGACAAUGGGCGAAAGCCUGAUCCAGUCAUGCCGCGUGUGUGAAGAAGGUCUUCGGAUUGUAAAGCACUUUAAGUUGGGAGGAAGGGCAGUAAGUUAAUACCUUGCUGUUUUGACGUUACCGACAGAAUAAGCACCGGCUAACUUCGUGCCAGCAGCCGCGGUAAUACGAAGGGUGCAAGCGUUAAUCGGAAUUACUGGGCGUAAAGCGCGCGUAGGUGGUUUUGUAAGUUGGAGGUGAAAUCCCCGGGCUCAACCUGGGAACUGCCUCCAAAACUGCAUGACUAGAGUACGGUAGAGGGUAGUGGAAUUUCCUGUGUAGCGGUGAAAUGCGUAGAUAUAGGAAGGAACACCAGUGGCGAAGGCGACUACCUGGACUGAUACUGACACUGAGGUGCGAAAGCGUGGGGAGCAAACAGGAUUAGAAACCCGAGUAGUCC